rnacentral:rRNA from 1 species
AACGAACGCUGGCGGCAGGCCUAACACAUGCAAGUCGAACGCUGAAGCAAUACAGAGUGGCAGACGGGUGAGUAACGCGUGGGAACGUGCCCUUCGGUUCGGAAUAACUCAGGGAAACUUGAGCUAAUACCGGAUACGUGCGAGAGCAGAAAGAUUUAUCGCCGAAGGAUCGGCCCGCGUCCGAUUAGCUAGUUGGUGUGGUAAUGGCGCACCAAGGCGACGAUCGGUAGCUGGUCUGAGAGGAUGAUCAGCCACACUGGGACUGAGACACGGCCCAGACUCCUACGGGAGGCAGCAGUGGGGAAUAUUGGACAAUGGGCGCAAGCCUGAUCCAGCCAUGCCGCGUGAGUGAUGAAGGCCCUAGGGUUGUAAAGCUCUUUCGCCAGGGACGAUAAUGACGGUACCUGGAUAAGAAGCCCCGGCUAACUUCGUGCCAGCCGCCGCCGUAAAAC